rnacentral:sRNA from 1 species
AAAAAUGUAUAAUUCUGGCAAUGUACUAGUUUUUUAAAAUGAAGUUUCAUUUCUUUACCAUCUGUGAAUAAUUCUAAACUAUAGUAAAGGAACCGUGCAUAAUGUUAAAUCCUUAUAUAUCGUUCGAAUGGAAAGUUACUGUUAUACAACGAAACUAAUAAAGAUAGUGAUUCAUCUCAGAGGAUGGACCCCUUCUACUGAAUACUAAACGACGAUGGUUUGUCAACAAAGUCCGACAACUCUUACAGUUCCGAACAAUAAAAAGGAAUAGAAAAGAACGAAUUUUGAAAAUGCAAAGAAAAAAGGAAAAAAUCUAAAGCUUCUUUAUAAUAAAUUAUAUUCCUUAUUUGGAAUUUGAAUAUGAAUCAAAAUCUUUGAUUUUAAAUUGUGGUAUUCUAUAUAUAUCUUCACCUGGCUACAUUUAGACAAAAUCGUCAAUUGCAAUGUACUAAAACAGUUAACAAAUUAUAAUUAGCGGUCAACUUAUUGUUUUCGUAUGCUAUCACACAUCUUUUUCCUAUUUCUUGUAUUAAUAUUAAUUAUGAAAUAAUUCCUCUGAAGUAUACAAGAGAUCUGGCUUUUUUGUAAAGUUUUCACAAUAUAAUUAUUAUAAAAGCUUUUUUUCUAAUUGUUAUUCAAAAUAUAAAAAUUGUUACUUAUGAAUCGGGUGUAUAUUAAACGAGUUAUUCAUGGACCUUCCGAAAACAUGCAGUAUAAAUUAAGACUAUCCAGACCCGUGUUUAUUCCAAUAAAAAUAAAGUUGACUAUUCUAAAUUUCAUCUUACUAGAUUAUUUGAUAGUAUCGAUAUGUAAUCUCUUUUAUUCGUGCAUUCGUUUGUUUGUUCAUUUAAGUUAGGUGUCUCCUAAUUAAAAUAUGUUUCAGCAUUUAUUCAAUGUUUAUUUAUUCCAGUUCAACAGCGUGUAUAAAACACAUCCCCGCACUACUAUUAUAAUGUCAGAAAAAAUAGUUUAGAAGCAAUCAUUUUUUUCAAAAAUUUGAGUGGAGUUAUGGGUUUUUUAUUAAAAUAAUUACUUCUGGCCUUAGAUUAUGAUGCUGUACAACUACAAACUCUAUGCUCAAACUUGUAAUGCGAGCUUCUAACAUACCAUGUAGUGCUAAGAAUUUCAACUUUAAAUACUUGCGACUUUUUGGAACAUUAAAUCGUUCGAUAUUUACAUUCAUAACCAUUCAAGACAUUUGAUACAUCAUACAAUAAAUGGAAUGAAAUAU